GAAAUGCGAUAAGUAAUGUGAAUUGCAGAAUUCCGUGAAUCAUCGAAUCUUUGAACGCACAUUGCGCCCUCUGGUAUUCCGGGGGACAUGCCUGUCCGAGCGUCAUUGCGACCCCUCAAGCACGGCUUGUGUGAUGGGCCCUCCCGCGUCUUGGUCGUCAAGACGGGCCCGAAAUGCAGUGGCGGCUUCGCGGUUAUCCGAUCAGCCAGAGCGUAUGGGGACUCUCUCUCUUGUCACACGCCCGCGGCGCGGACCGACGCCUGUCGACCUUUAUUCAUCUUCUCUCGGUUGACCUCGGAUCAGGUAGGGAUACCCGCUGAACUUAAGC
rnacentral:misc_RNA from 1 species